GAAAGAUGGCUUUGGCUAUCACUCUGGGAUGGACCUGCGGUGCAUUAGCUAGUUGGUAAGGUAACGGCUUACCAAGGCGAUGAUGCAUAGCCGAGUUGAGAGACUGAUCGGCCACAAUGGAACUGAGACACGGUCCAUACUCCUACGGGAGGCAGCAGUAGGGAAUCUUCCACAAUGGGCGCAAGCCUGAUGGAGCAACACCGCGUGAGUGAAGAAGGGUUUCGGCUCGUAAAGCUCUGUUGUUGGAGAAGAACGUGCGUGAGAGUAACUGUUCACGCAGUGACGGUAUCCAACCAGAAAGUCACGGCUAACUACGUGCCAGCAGCCGCGGUAAUACGUAGGUGGCAAGCGUUAUCCGGAUUUAUUGGGCGUAAAGCGAGCGCAGGCGGUUGCUUAGGUCUGAUGUGAAAGCCUUCGGCUUAACCGAAGAAGUGCAUCGGAAACCGGGCGACUUGAGUGCAGAAGAGGACAGUGGAACUCCAUGUGUAGCGGUGGAAUGCGUAGAUAUAUGGAAGAACACCAGUGGCGAAGGCGGCUGUCUGGUCUGCAACUGACGCUGAGGCUCGAAAGCAUGGGUAGCGAACAGGAUUAGAUACCCUGGUAGUCCAUGCCGUAAACGAUGAGUGCUAGGUGUUGGAGGGUUUCCGCCCCUCA
rnacentral:rRNA from 1 species